rnacentral:rRNA from 1 species
UACAGAGGUCCCAAGCGUUGUUCGGAUUCACUGGGCGUAAAGGGUGCGUAGGCGGUCGGGUAAGUCUGAUGUGAAAUCUCACAGCUUAACUGUGAAACUGCAUUGGAUACUAUCCGGCUCGAGGAAUGGAGGGGAGACUGGAAUACUUGGUGUAGCAGUGAAAUGCGUAGAUAUCAAGUGGAACACCAGUGGCGAAGGCGGCUUCCUGGUCUGCGACUGACGCUGUGGCGCGAAAGCUAGGGGAGCAAACGGG